rnacentral:rRNA from 1 species
AGAGUUUGAUCAUGGCUCAGGAUGAACGCUAGCGGCAGGCUUAAUACAUGCAAGUCGAGGGGCAACAGGGGUAGCGAUACCUGCUGGCGACCGGCAAACGGGUGCGCAACACGUACAGAACCUUCCUUUAAGCGGGGGAUAGCCCAUAGAAAUGUGGAUUAAUACCCCAUAGUAUUAUUGUCUGGCAUCAGGUAAUAAUUAAAGAUUUAUCACUUAGAGAUGGCUGUGCGUCUGAUUAGGUAGUUGGUAUGGGUAACGGCCUACCAAGCCUUCGAUCAGUAACUGGUGUGAGAGCACGACCAGUCACACGGGCACUGAGACACGGGCCCGACUCCUACGGGAGGCAGCAGUAAGGAAUAUUGGUCAAUGGAGGCAACUCUGAACCAGCCAUGCCGCGUGAAGGAUGAAGGUCCUCUGGAUUGUAAACUUCUUUUAUGUGGGAAGAAAUGUCCGGAUUAUUCUGGAUUUGACGGUACCAUAGGAAUAAGCACCGGCUAACUCCGUGCCAGCAGCCGCGGUAAUACGGAGGGUGCGAGCGUUAUCCGGAUUCACUGGGUUUAAAGGGUGCGUAGGUGGGUCUGUAAGUCAGUGGUGAAAUCUCCGUGCUUAACAUGGAAACUGCCAUUGAUACUAUAGGUCUUGAAUUUUCCGGAGGUUAGCGGAAUAUGUCAUGUAGCGGUGAAAUGCUUAGAUAUGACAUAGAACACCAAUUGCGAAGGCAGCUAACUACAGGGAUAUUGACACUGAGGCACGAAAGCGUGGGGAUCAAACAGGAUUAGAUACCCCCGUAGUCC